rnacentral:misc_RNA from 1 species
UUUUCCUAAAAGCCUUGUAAUUUUCACAACAAUCAUGAAACCUAAGCAUUAUAUCACUUGCACGGCUUUCACUGCUGACUGCAAAAGCUCGAUGAUGCCCUGCUCCAAGGCUUCCCUUCUCACUAAACAGACCCAUGCCAAAUGCCACAGCACUAGCUGAUGCUCGAGGAACUUGUGUCGCCUUUAUUGGGUACACAUCAGGGUGAUAUUCCUCCUUGAAC